CACGUAGGGUGCGAGCGUUGUCCGGAAUUAUUGGGCGUAAAGAGCUCGUAGGCGGUGUGUCGCGUCGGCCGUGAAAACCUGCAGCUUAACUGUGGGCUUGCGGUCGAUACGGGCAUCACUGGAGUUCGGCAGGGGAGACUGGAAUUCCUGGUGUAGCGGUGAAAUGCGCAGAUAUCAGGAGGAACACCGGUGGCGAAGGCGGGUCUCUGGGCCGAUACUGACGCUGAGGAGAGAAAGCGUGGGGAGCGAACAGG
rnacentral:rRNA from 1 species